rnacentral:lncRNA from 10 species
AUGGGACCCGCAGUAAAGAGCGCUGCGUAUCGCAUGAAUGCCCAGACGGGCUCAGCGUCACCGAGGGAGCUGCACAGUCCUCCCCAGCUCAGGGACUCCAUCCGCCGCCCGCAUCCCACCUGCUGCACCAGUGGACUCUGGCCCCAGAUUAUCAGGGAAAAUUUAUAGUCGUCAGGGGAAAAAUAAACGCCAUUGCAUAUGAGUUCCACCUUCAGCACGAAGAACAGAGCAUUGAACUCACCCAUGCGGAGGCUCCCCAAUGUGCACACAGAGCCCGCAGUUACAGUCCCUGAAAUCCAGGCUCACAAUCAGUAAUACCAGAAAAGUUACCUAUAAAAUAAGAAUAAGCGGCAUAGUUAAAGCCUGAGAAUUUGGGAAUUCACAAAGCAUGCCGACUUCCAGGCAGGCCGAGGCUCAGGGUCAAGGGAUCCCUCCCAGGCCCCAGCUCCGCCCGCGAUGCCCAGGGCUGCACCUCGCAGGCGGGUCUGACGGAAACGGCUCCGAGACACGUGCCUGGCCUUUCUGCGCGAUUGCAGCUCCUGAUUUGAGGCAUCAAACUCCCACAGUGAGUUCCCCGCUUCAGGGCCGCAGGACAGCGUCUGGCUUCCUCACUUCCUGCCUAAUGGAUCUUGCUGCGCAAAUUGGACUUUUCGGGUUUUAUUACUCCCUAAGGGGAUUGCUGCUGGAUUACGCUCAUUUACUUUUUUAUUCUUUAUCUAUUAUUUACACAAGAAAAUAUUCCUGUUUUUCUUUCUGAAUAUCCUCCGUUAUUCCUGGCAUUAGCGGAAUAAUUUUUGUCAGUUUUAUAAAUUGCCUAUGACUGUACAUUUCCGAGCCAAUGUGUUGAGGAGUUCCUAUGAAUCGGCGGUAACCGAUGAUGAACAGCCCAGGCGCCCAGUGGCGGUGCAGGACGAGGCCCCUUCACCUCCGCUCUAAACCCUGGAGAAGGCGCUGGGGGUCUCGGGGAGGCAGGAGGUGGGAGUGCGCCCCGCAGCCUCCUAAGACCGCCCCCCGCCCCCCGCUGCGUCCUGCACAGGGAGCUCCAGGCUGUUGCAGGAGGAUGCGGGAGGCGGGGUUCAAGGGGCGCGCAGGAGCCCCGGAGGCGCGCGCUGCUUUGCAGCUCCUAAGGCUGUGCCGACGUAGGGGACCUCACCCGGGGCUUGGGAAGCGCACCCCUGAUUUAUAAGCAGCGCGUGCUGAGCGGUCGCGGCUCAGUCCGGUGCAGCUGAGGGACCAGGGCUCCCUGGACGGCCUCGCCCGCGCGUCCUCGGUCAUUGCGUUUGUCCGGGGAGCUUGCGCGGCGUCUCCCGGCUCCCUGGGCGGGCUCUGCGCCCCAGGCCCCGCGCUCACUCUGGCUCGGUGUCGACCCCCUCGCUGGCCCAUGCAGCCUCGUCCUGCCCCUCGCGGCUCCUCCGCCCUGGUUUCUGCGUCCUUCCCUCAUCCGCUCGCCACAACCCGGCGGAGCUGCCCAGCCCAAGGUGCAGUGUGCGCCCCUGGGACGCGCCUCUGAGAGCCACGAGGGCCCUGAAUGCACAGCGCGGGAGUUUCAGGCCCAGGAGUGACCGCCUGCACUUGCGCGCUCAUUAACUCUUCUCUGCCUGCCUGGGCCCCCGGCGUGAGUGGGAAUCACGGCCCACGGACGCCUGGGAUGACUCGGCCUUGCGCCCCGGCGUGCAGCAGGUCUCUGGGCAGGUCUCUGGGCGCAGCGAACCCUGGUCUGCCGGGAGCUCCUUCUUGACCUUCCUUCCUCCACAAGAAGGGAGCGCCUCCCGACAGGCCACAGGCUACAUCAUUUUGGAUUAUGCAAUAAAAUGCUUGGUUUGUGCGCGUACAAGGGCACCAGCUAAUGCCCCAGGGCAGGGCUUACUGUGGCCACUGCUGAACCAAAUAAAAGCCCACGUGAUGUGGAAACUGCAUGGAAUAAUACGUUGUCUGGACAGGCGUCACUUACAAAUCUCGAGACCGGGUUCUUUGUGUAAAUGGUACUUUACUUUUAAACAGUUUAGGAAAAGCCCAGUUAUCUUUCAUUCACACGCCUGUUCUCUGUCCCGGGUGGGUGCCCCUGCUGAGCGGACAGA